GCCCAGGUGGUGGAAUGGCAUACACACUAGGUUGAGGGCCUAGCCUCGCAAGAGGGUGAGGGUUCGAGUCCCUCCCUGGGCA
rnacentral:tRNA from 1 species